ACGGUACAACGAGUCGCAAACUCGCGAGAGUAAGCUAAUCUCUUAAAGCCGUUCUCAGUUCGGACUGUAGGCUGCAACUCGCCUACACGAAGUCGGAAUCGCUAGUAAUCGCGGAUCAGCAUGCCGCGGUGAAUACGUUCCCGGGCCUUGUACACACCGCCCGUCACACCAUGAGAGUCGGGAACACCCGAAGUCCGUAGCCUAACCGCAAGGAGGGCGCGGCCGAAGGUGGGUUCGAUAAUUGGGGUGAAGUCGUAACAAGGUACC
rnacentral:rRNA from 1 species